UACUAUACAUAAAAAGAAUCCCGAAGGAUUCUGAAGCUGCCGUGUAUCAGUUUUUGGGUUAGUUUUUCCUUAUUUUUUCUCCCAUUCUGAAGCUGCCAUGUUUUUUCUCCUUUCGGUUUUUGGAGUUAGGUUGUAAAGAUAUCAAAAGUUAGGUGGCAUUCACGAAGGGUAUCAAAAGGUCAUAUGGCAUUCAUGGAGGAUAUCAAAGGAUCAGAUAACAUUCAUGGAAGAAAUCACGACUCAAAAUUCAUGUGAACCCAAAAAUCCUAGAUCCCCAAAACCUCUCUGUUUUACUUAGUAUUGUUUUUUUUUUCCUUUUGCACUUUUUUCUUGACAAGAUUUUUUAAGCCUUCGGGUUUAGGAAAUUUAGAUGAAAAAAAUGUGUUUUUGUCAAGAAUGGUGGUGGAAAAAGACUUUUAGGUGGCAUUGAAAUUGGCAGGAAAUGGUGGGUUCAGUGGGAGGUCUUGGCUGGUGACAAUUAUGGUGCUAGGAUUUUGGGAUACAAGUGAUGCGUAUAUGGUAUUGAUAGUGUGUUGUUUGGAGAGAUAAGACGUUGCAGGGUAUUCGGGUCUUGGUGGACGGAUAAGGAAUGUUCUUGCUUUAAUUGGGUUCUGAAGUGAUCCAUACACUCCCUAAUUCAACUUCUAAUAAAGGGCUUUCUUUGGCUUUUUAGAUAACCCACAAAUUGUUCCAUUUUUUUUUUUUUCACUUGAAGGAUCACAAACAGGUAAGAAUUUUAUUCUACUUGAACGUAUCCUUUGUUUCCCUUUUUUGAUGAUUUGUAGUGAUUGUGAUUGAAUUUAUUCAUCUUAAAUGAGGGGACUUAAAAAAGAAUUGUUUUUUCUUUUGUGGUGAAACGGAGUUCGUUUUUGCUUGGAAAACAAUAGUUUCAUUAGUGAAAAAUACAGCUUUUUUAUGCUUAUAUGGAAAACCAGUGAUUUUGCCGUUAGUUUUUUGUUUGAAGUAGUGAUUUUUAUGUUUAUAGCAGGAACAUAUUGCAGCCUGGAGAGUUUAAUUGUCUAAUUUGGUAGAUUUCCUGAUUUGGAAUUAUCUUUGUUUAUGCAAGGGAGAUUUUAUAUAAAUGGCGACAAUACAAGAUAUAGGCGUUGUAGCAGCAAUUAAUCUUCUCAGUGCAUUUUUAUUCUUUCUAGCGUUUUCCAUAUUAAAGCUUCAACCUUUCAAUGAUAGGGUUUACUUUCCUAAAUGGUAUCUCAAGGGUUUAAGAAGCAGUCUUUCCAGGUUUGGAGCAUUUGUGAGGAAAUUUGUUAAUUUGGAUUUUCGUUCAUACUUGAGGUUCUUGAAUUGGAUGCCAGAGGCAUUGAGAAUGCCAGAACUUGAGCUUCUUGAACAUGCCGGAUUGGUUUGGCUGUUUAUUUGUGCGUUUGUUUGAUAGGGAACAUCAACAAAGGCAUUAAAAAAAGGCAUGCUGAAAAAGGAGAUCAUGAAAAAGUGGUGAUUAAAAAACUACAGUUGUUGAAAGGAUCCGAGAUGUGAACAUAGUGCCUAAGCACCGAUUAAUGGGUAAUUUUUGUUAUCCUAUUGUUUUAUUUUUUCAGACGAAUUUGUGGUAUGUGUUAAGUCGAAUAAAAGUGGUAUUCUGUUUCUCGAUUAUUGAAUGAAGUAGGAAUGAUUGGUAGUUAUUUAAUCAAAUAGUGUCUUUUUGGUGUUUUUUGGGCAUCAAUAAAUAAUGAAGUUAGUGUCUUUGUACUAAGAUUUGUCAUCGUCUGACAUACUAUCCAAAAGGGAUUAGUAAUUUAACUUCUCCCUUGAGAUUAAGUGAUAUCACAAUGAGAGCAGAUUGUAACAAUGCUGAUCAAUUCAGUAUUGAAGAUCUAGAA